GGUGUGGCGGGGUCAGGAGCUGGUCACCAGCAGAGAGCCCCUGGCGAUGCUCCAUCCAGCCUUGGGCCUGCUGCACGCCAGCCCCACGGGCCUGCUCCUGACGGUGCUGGUGGCCCUCACCUACAUAGUGGCCCUCCUAUACGAAGAGCCCUUCACCGCUGAGAUCUACCGGCAGAAAGCCUCCGGGUCCCACAAGAGGAGCUGAUUGAGCUGCAACAGCUUUGCUGAAGGCCUGGCCAGCCUCCUGGCCUGCCCCAAGUGGCAGGCCCUGCGCAGGGCGAGAAUGGUGCCUGCUGCUCAGGGCUCGCCCCCGGCGUGGGCUGCUCCAGUGCCUUGGAACCUGCUGCCUUGGGGACCCUGGACGUGCCGACAUAUGGCCAUUGAGCUCCAACCCACACAUUCCCAUUCACCAAUAAAGGCACCCUGACCC
rnacentral:sRNA from 1 species